CUAAUACAUGCAAGUCGAGCGAACAGACGAGGAGCUUGCUCCUCUGACGUUAGCGGCGGACGGGUGAGUAACACGUGGAUAACCUACCUAUAAGACUGGGAUAACUUCGGGAAACCGGAGCUAAUACCGGAUAAUAUAUUGAACCGCAUGGUUCAAUAGUGAAAGACGGUUUUGCUGUCACUUAUAGAUGGAUCCGCGCCGCAUUAGCUAGUUGGUAAGGUAACGGCUUACCAAGGCAACGAUGCGUAGCCGACCUGAGAGGGUGAUCGGCCACACUGGAACUGAGACACGGUCCAGACUCCUACGGGAGGCAGCAGUAGGGAAUCUUCCGCAAUGGGCGAAAGCCUGACGGAGCAACGCCGCGUGAGUGAUGAAGGUCU
rnacentral:rRNA from 1 species